rnacentral:tRNA from 1 species
AGCUAUCAUAGCUAUUUAAGUAUGAGAUUCUUAAUCUCAGGAUUCAGCGUAUGCUGAUGAUGGU